rnacentral:rRNA from 1 species
UACGUAGGGGGCGAGCGUUGUCCGGAUUUAUUGGGCGUAAAGAGCGUGUAGGCGGCCAGGUAGGUCUGCUGUGAAAACUCGAGGCUCAACCUCGAGACGUCGGCGGAAACCAUCUGGCUAGAGUCCGGAAGAGGAGAGUGGAAUUCCUGGUGUAGCGGUGAAAUGCGCAGAUAUCAGGAAGAACACCCGUGGCGAAGGCGGCUCUCUGGGACGGUACUGACGCUGAGGUGCGAAAGCGUGGGGAGCAAACAGG